AUGAACGCUGGCGGCGUGCCUAAUACAUGCCAGUCGAGCGAACGGACGAGAAGCUUGCUUCUCUGAUGUUAGCGGCGGACGGGUGAGUAACACGUGGAUAACCUACCUAUAAGACUGGGAUAACUUCGGGAAACCGGAGCUAAUACCGGAUGAUAUUUUGAACCACAUGGUUCAAAAGUGAAAGACGGUCUUGCUGUCACUUAUAGAUGGAUCCGCGCUGCAUUAGCUAGUUGGUAAGGUAACGGCUUACCAAGGCAACGAUGCAUAGCCGACCUGAGAGGGUGAUCGGCCACACUGGAACUGAGACACGGUCCAGACUCCUACGGGAGGCAGCAGUAGGGAAUCUUCCGCAAUGGGCGAAAGCCUGACGGAGCAACGCCGCGUGAGUGAUGAAGGUCUUCGGAUCGUAAAACUCUGUUAUUAGGGAAGAACAUAUGUGUAAGUAACUGUGCACAUCUUGACGGUACCUAAUCAGAAAGCCACGGCUAACUACGUG
rnacentral:rRNA from 1 species